AUUGAACGCUGGCGGCAGGCUUAACACAUGCAAGUCGAACGAGUGGCGGACGGGUGAGUAACAUUUAGGAAUCUACCUAGUAGUGGGGGAUAGCUCGGGGAAACUCGAAUUAAUACCGCAUACUAUUAGAUGAGCCUAAAUCAGAUUAGCUAGUUGGUGGGGUAAAGGCCCACCAAGGCGACGAUCUGUAACUGGUCUGAGAGGAUGACCAGCCACACUGGAACUGAGACACGGUCCAGACUCCUACGGGAGGCAGCAGUGGGGAAUAUUGCACAAUGGGCGCAACCUGAUGCAGCCAUGCCGCGUGUAUGAAGAAGGCCUUCGGGUUGUAAAGUACUUUCAGCGGGGAGGCGUUACCCGCAGAAGAAGCACCGGCUAACUCCGUGCCAGCAGCCGCGGUAAUAC
rnacentral:rRNA from 1 species